rfam:Sphingobium sp. C100 contig56, whole genome shotgun sequence.
GUUGCGGGCCGGGCCCCUCUGGCGAUGUGGAUGAUCCCCUGAUCCAUGUCGCGAUGUCGGACCGCAUCG